AGACGGAAGCGACCAGGCGCGUCCCAUGACAUCACUUCCGUCAAAACAACUUCGGCUCCGACUUAUUUGAAACUCACUCAAUCUGACGUCUCAUUCCAAACACGUAUUUAUUCAUAGUCAAAUGCUUUAACGAAGUAAGGCGACUCAUGAUUUGUGUCAUGAGCGCCUGCAAAAAUUUAGCUCCCACCUGUCAGUAGUUGCAGCACCAAAUGUCGUUUUUCAAAUGCAGGUCCGGUAUAUCCUGAACAAAAGACAAGAAGAACAUGGAAGUGGCUGUGAAAGGAAGGGCCAAGAGGAGGCAUUUGAAUGCAGACGAACUGCAAGAAAGCGAAACAGGUCUCGAAGCUCUCAUCAACCCUCAAAACUUCAGCAGAAGCGAAAGCAGCACUUCCGGUCUGAACCCGAGGACUACCAAGAGACGGAACUGUGCAUCAGUCACCUCCGGUGCAGAAAACUGCUUUCCCACAUGCGCAAAUGGACUCAAUGAUGAACCGGAAGAUGAGAUCAGUUUGGGUGAGGACUGGUUGCCCACAGACCUCGAAGAGGAGCCUGAAAUUAACACCAUGGACUACUUAGAAGGAAUAACGGCGGACAUGUUUGAAGAUGAGUUCGACUGCGCUGACAAAUUGGUGCACGAGGAGCCGGAGGCGGAAGCCCUGCCGGACGCCGCCUACGGGCUCCUGGGCAGCACCAAUGAUCUGCUGCAGCCUCAGGGUUGUAUUGACGACCUCCCAGAGGAGGUGCUCAGGCAGGUUCUCAGCCUCGUUCCUGCUCGAGACCUGUACAGGAGCGCCAAACUCGUGUGCCACCGCUGGCGCGACAUCAUUGAGGAUGCCACGUUUAUGCCGUUCAAGAAGAGAUACUAUCGCUACCUGAUGCACGAAGAGGUUACAGUGGCGGAGGUCACCUCCUCAUUGAUCGAGAGCGGCGUCAUGAAGCCAUCAAUGUCACAACACAGCAUCCGGAACCUCGUUAUUUCAAUGGCGCGCCACAAGUUCGGCGAGAGGGUGGAUCCGACCAAAGCUCUGGAGCAUGUGAAGAAACAUCGCUUUUUUCCCCAGGCGGAGGCCUCCAUCAGAUUACGCAUUCGGAAUGUUCCCAAGUGCCAAAAUCUGAAUAUUGAGGGCCCCAACCCGUUUGCAGUCAUGGCGGUGAUAUUACUCCUCAGUGAGAGCGUCGACGACGUGCAAGCUUUGGUGAUGUUGCUGAACGGCUGCAUGUCGUACGGCGCCAUCACCGAGUUCCUCAGUCACAUGGCCACGACGCUGCUCGCCGCCGUGAGGAACAAGGUGAAGAUUAGCGAGAGGUUGCAUUACAACAUCUACUAUGUUCUUCACCUGAGGGAGAACGGCCCCUUUUCUGUUAGCUCCUCGAACGACAGGGCCUCACGCAUGAACAUGACCUCGGAGCAGCUGCACAUCCUCAGCCACGAUAUUCAGCAAGACCACGUGGUGAAGAUUGUCGCUUUUGCAGGUACGGGGAAGACGACCACGCUGAUCAAGUACGCCGAGCAGAAGCCGCACCUUCGCUUCCUGUAUGUGGCAUUCAACAAGUCGGUGGCGUACGAGGCCUCGCAACGCUUCCCGCCCAACGUAGACUGCAAGACUGUCCACUCGCUGGCCUACAAGGACGUUGGGAAAAUGUACCAAAAGAAGCUCACCUCUAAUCUGACCCCAUUCUCCAUCAACACGGUCCUGCCCAAAGGCCGAGGCGGGUACGCCAAGGCCAAAGUGGUAGCCACGACCCUCAAAAGCUUCAUGGCUUCCGUUGACGAGACCAUCGGCGUGAGCCACGUGCCGAGCGUGCAAGUGAGCCUUCAAGGCCUCAAGAAGUACAUAACGGAAGAAGAAAAACAGUUAUUUGUUGAAGAUGCAAGGAACAUUUGGAAUAAAAUGAAGGACCUCAAUGAGACGAAAGGCUAUUCCAUGACUCACGACGGUUACCUGAAGUUAUGGCAGCUCCAAACGCCAAAGGUCUGCCUCUCCGACCAGUAUGAUGUCAUUCUCAUCGACGAAGCCCAGGACAGCACUCCGCCCGUCAUGGACGUGCUGUUGAUGCAGAGGUGUGGCAAAAUGCUGGUGGGAGAUCCCCACCAGCAGAUUUACUCCUUCAGAGGAGCCGUUAACGCAUUGCAAACUGUGGAGCACACGCACAUCUACUACCUAACGCAGAGUUUCCGCUUUGGCGCCGAGAUCGCCUACGUGGGGGCCAGCAUCCUCACAGUGUGCAAGAAAGUCCAGAAAAUUCUCAUUGGAGGAAGGCAGAAAGGGGGCGUGUUUGAUGAAAAAUCCGCCCAGGCUCGAGAGGAUGUGGCCAAUGGCAAGAGUCCCAGUCAGGGAAACACAGCCAUCUUGUUCAGGUGCAAUCUUGGCGUGUUCAGCGAAGCCGUGCGGCUGAUCGAGGCCAACGCAAAGUGCAGCAUCCACUUCAUAGGCGGCGAGGACAACAUUGGCUUGAAUAAGAUCAAGGAUAUUUGGUACCUAAUGGAAGACAAAGAGAACCGCAAACUGAUCAGGGACCACCUCAUUGCAUCGUUUGCAAAACUCGAAGGGAACUCCUUUGAGGUGCUGAAACUCUACGCCCACAAGACCGAGGACCGCGACCUGGAGGCCAAGCUCACAAUUGUGGCCAAAUACACAAGCCGCAUCCCUGAUCUGGUGAAGAGCCUGAGGAGGCACUCGGAGGUCAACGUUAAAAAAGCAGACUUCAUACUUGGCACAGUCCACAAAGCCAAAGGCCUGGAAUUUGAAAUUGUGAUGGUCAGCGAUGACUUUGUCACCGUUCCCUGUUCCCGACACAACCACCACCACUUUAACGACUUUGCUUUUUGUAAAAUCCCCAGCGAUGAAUGGAACCUGCUCUAUGUGGCGGUAACUCGCGCUAAAACGACGCUGAUCAUCACACGGAGCAUCCGCCGCAUCAUCACGCAGACUGGCGAGUACUUCUUGAAGUCGGUGAUGCCCAGCGCGCCGUUGAAAGCUGGAGAGACGCCGCCGUGCCUCGUUUCCGCCUGUCCCAACUGCAUCACGCCUGGCGUUGCUUUCAUGAUGUGGAGAAGACAGAUGACCUAUACGACCGGCCUGUCUCACGAGGGUGCGCUGUGCGAGAGGUGUGUGUGGACUCGCGUGGGACCAAUCGCUUACCUCAUGACCGACGACGUGCUCUCCAUGGCUGAAGUUCCAGAGCGCGUCGACCAGCACUUAUUCCACGUUAUUUUCCAUGCACCGUUAUGAUUGAAAUUUCUUUCUGUAACAGAAAAUUUCCUGAUUCGGUUUAUUUUAACACUUGUGCAUUCCCAUACUUGGGGUCGACAGUAACUCCGAGACGCCACAAGAUGGCGACAAAGAAUUAUGAGCCGAUAGCGCGGCAUGUCAACUGGCCAAAGCGUCAACAUUCCCUCCUUGUCAACGAGACGCCACAAGACGGUGGCAACAAAUUAUGAGCCUUUAGCGCUACAUGUCACCUGGCCAAAGCGUUAACAUUCCCUCCUUGUCUACGUCGUCUGACUUUUCGCUCGUCAAAAUCAAAUAUUAGUUCUCGAACUAUGUCGUCCAUUUUUUGCGACGCGACAGAAAUGCUGGCUAUGCAGGGACCGCUGAUGUAGGCCAAUUUAACCGUUUAGUAGUGAUGGAGAAAUAAAGUCCUAUUGUGGUUAUACUGUGUAUCAUUCAUAGGAUGACAAAACAAUUAACUACCGACGUUCCAUAUUUAAACAGUUUUUUUAAACUACAUGUAUUGCAAAUGCUUUCAAUUACCAUUCCGUCCACCUGUUGACUAGGAGAUGCCCUCGUGGGCAAGGUCUGGAGUGGUCACAUGAUUACGCACAUAGCGCAUUUCAUCCAAAUUGGGGAAAACCCCGCCCCCUCCCCUUUGAUUGGUUGGGGCGUCGUUGGGGUGUGGUUUUCUAAAGGUCACUUCGUAGCGCCCUUCUUACGUCGCUACCUCAGGGUUGGGCCCUUCAUUUUGGGCAUGUCUCGGGUACACAUCAUGAGGUAAAUUUAUGGCCCCUUUAUGAAUUAAACCACUUAUCCUGUUCAGACUGGUCGGUAAGACACCUCUACAUGACUCACGUGAGUCCACGCAAAUGAGCCACUGUCAAAAUAGGAAAAGUGACUUUUUGUAUUUUCUGCUUCAAAAUGGUAGUCUAUGAAAAUAGCAAUUUAUUGUUGCCAGUAGAAUAUUAGCAAAGGGUAGUUCAAGGCGUUGUACAAUUACAGAGAAGUGAUGUAAACACUUACAAGUACAACACUUGCAUGACACGCUGACAGAAUG